rnacentral:rRNA from 1 species
GUGGGGAAUUUUGGACAAUGGGCGCAAGCCUGAUCCAGCCAUGCCGCGUGCAGGAUGAAGGCCUUCGGGUUGUAAACUGCUUUUGUACGGAACGAAAAGACUCUUUCUAAUAAAGAGAGUCCAUGACGGUACCGUAAGAAUAAGCACCGGCUAACUACGUGCCAGCAGCCGCGGUAAUACGUAGGGUGCGAGCGUUAAUCGGAAUUACUGGGCGUAAAGCGUGCGCAGGCGGUGAUGUAAGACAGAUGUGAAAUCCCCGGGCUCAACCUGGGAACUGCAUUUGUGACUGCAUCGCUGGAGUGCGGCAGAGGGGGAUGGAAUUCCGCGUGUAGCAGUGAAAUGCGUAGAUAUGCGGAGGAACACCGAUGGCGAAGGCAAUCCCCUGGGCCUGCACUGACGCUCAUGCACGAAAGCGUGGGGAGCAAACAGGAUUAGAAACCCUGGUAGUCC